rnacentral:rRNA from 1 species
UACGAAGGGGGCUAGCGUUGCUCGGAUUUACUGGGCGUAAAGGGCGCGUAGGCGGAUUUCUAAGUCGGGGGUGAAAGCCCAGGGCUCAACCCUGGAAUUGCCUUCGAUACUGGAAGUCUUGAGUACGGGAGAGGUGAGUGGAACUCCGAGUGUAGAGGUGAAAUCGUAGAUAUUCGGAAGAACACCAGUGGCGAAGGCGACUCACUGGCCCGUUACUGACGCUGAGGCGCGAAAGCGUGGGGAGCAAACAGG